CCUCCUUUUCUUGGCGGGGACUGGGUGUGUGGUCCCACUUCCCAUUAUGCAUGGAGGCAGAAGGAAAGGGCUCCGUCCCUCUUGGUGCCAUGUCUUCGGUGCCAGGGGCUUCCUGUUCUCUGGGUCUAUCCUCAAACGCCAUGACACAG
ensembl:snoRNA